rnacentral:rRNA from 1 species
GCCCGCACAAGCGGUGGAGCAUGUUUGUUCAAUUCGAUGCAACGCGAAGAACCGUACCUGGACUUGACAUCCGUGAAAUCUCUAAGAGAUUGGAGAGUGUCCCGAUUUAUCGGGAAAUCACGAGACAGGUGCUGCAUGGCUGUCGUCAGCUCGUGUUGUGAAAUGUUGGGUUAAGUCCCGUAACGAGCGCAACCCCUACCCUUAGUUGCCAAUAUUAAGUUAGGAACUCUAAGGGGACUGCCAAGUUAAACUUGGAGGAAGGUGGGGACGACGUCAAGUCAUCAUGGUCCUUAUGUCCAGGGCUACAAACGUGCUACAAUGGUCGGUACAAAGGGAAGCUAAACAGCGAUGUGGUGCAAAUCCCAAAAAACCGAUCUCAGUUCGGAUUGGAGUUUGCAACUCGACUCCAUGAAGGUGGAAUCGCUAGUAAUCGCGGAUCAGCAGGUCGCGGUGAAUACGUUCCCGGGCCUUGUACACACCGCCCGUCAAGUCAACCGAGUUGAUUGCACCCGAAGAGGGUGAGCAAAUCCUUACAGAUAGCAGCCAGCGAAGGUAUGAUCAGCAAGGGGGACUAAGUCGUAACAAGGUA